UACGGGGGGGUAAGCGUUGUUCGGAAUUACUGGGCGUAAAGGGCUCGUAGGCGGCCAACUAAGUCAUACGUGAAAUCCCUCAGCUUAACUGGGGAACUGCGUGUGAUACUGGAUGGCUUGGAUUUGGGAGAGGGAUGCGGAAUUCCAGGUGUAGCGGUGAAAUGCGUAGAUAUCUGGAGGAACACCGGUGGCGAAGGCGGCAUCCUGGACCAAUAUUGACGCUGAGGAGCGAAAGCCAGGGGAGCGGAACGGG
rnacentral:rRNA from 1 species